ensembl:snRNA U6 U6 spliceosomal RNA
GUGCUCGCUUCGGCAGCACAUACAUUAAAACUGGAACAACACAGAGAUUAGCAUGGCUUCUGUGCAGGGAUGACAUGCAAAUUUGUGAAGAGCUCUUU